rnacentral:rRNA from 1 species
CCUACGGGUGGCAGCAGUGAGGAAUAUUGGUCAAUGGGCGGAAGCCUGAACCAGCCAAGUAGCGUGCAGGAUGACGGCCCUACGGGUUGUAAACUGCUUUUAUACGGGAAUAACGCGCCUUACGUGUAGGGCUUUGCAUGUACCGUAUGAAUAAGGACCGGCUAAUUCCGUGCCAGCAGCCGCGGUAAUACGGAAGGUCCGGGCGUUAUCCGGAUUUAUUGGGGUUAAGGGGAGCGUAGGCCGCAUGUCAAGCGUGCUGUGAAAUGUCCGGGCUCAACCCGGGCCUUGCAGCGCGAACUGGCGUGCUUGAGUCCGCGGAAAGCAGGCGGAAUGCGUCGUGUAGCGGUGAAAGGCUUAGAUAUGACGAAGAACCCCGAUUGCGAAGGCGGCUUGCUGGGCUUUUACUGACGCUGAGGCUCGAAAGCGUGGGGAGCAAACAGGAUUAGAUACCCCAGUAGUC